AAAUUGAAGAGUUUGAUCAUGGCUCAGAUUGAACGCUGGCGGCAGGCCUAACACAUGCAAGUCGAACGGUAACAGGAAGAAGCUUGCUUCUUUGCUGACGAGUGGCGGACGGGUGAGUAAUGUCUGGGAAACUGCCCGAUGGAGGGGGAUAACUACUGGAAACGGUAGCUAAUACCGCAUAACGUCGCAAGACCAAAGAGGGGGACCUUCGGGCCUCUUGCCAUCGGAUGUGCCCAGAUGGGA
rnacentral:rRNA from 1 species